GCCGGGGGCGGUGGCACGUGCCUGUAUUCCCAGCUACUCGGGAGGCUGAGGUGGGAGGAUCGCUUGAGCCCAGGAUUUCUGGGCUAUAGUGUGCUAUGCUAAUUAGGUGUCUGCACUAAGUUUGGCAUCAAUAUGGUGACCUCCCGGGAGCGGAGGACCACCAGGUUGCCUGAGGAGGGGUGAACCAGCCUGGAUUGGAAACAGCAGGUUAAAACUCCUGUGCUGAUCAGUAGUGGGAUUGCACCUGUGAUUAGCCACUGCACUCCAGCCUGGGCAACAUAGCAAGACCCUAUCUCU
rnacentral:SRP_RNA from 1 species